rnacentral:rRNA from 1 species
AUUGGGAAGAACACCAGUGGCGAAGGCGCUCUACUGGGCCGUAACUGACGCUGAGGGACGAAAGCUAGGGGAGCGAAAGGGAUUAGAUACCCCUGUAGUCCUAGCUGUAAACGAUGGAUACUAGGUGUUGGACGUAUCGACCCGUUCAGUACCGCAGCCAACGCGAUAAGUAUCCCGCCUGGGGAGUACGCACGCAAGUGUGAAACUCAAAGGAAUUGACGGGGGCCCGCACAAGCGGUGGAGUAUGUGGUUUAAUUCGAUGCAACGCGAAGAACCUUACCAGGGCUUGACAUCCCUCGAAUCCUUUUGAAAGAGAGGAGUGCCUUCGGGAGCGAGGAGACAGGUGGUGCAUGGCUGUCGUCAGCUCGUGUCGUGAGAUGUUGGGUUAAGUCCCGCAACGAGCGCAACCCACGUCCUUAGUUGCCAUCAUUAAGUUGGGCACUCUGGGGAGACUGCCGGGGACAACUCGGAGGAAGGUGUGGAUGACGUCAAGUCAUCAUGCCCCUUACGUUCUGGGCUACACACGUACUACAAUGCUUCGGACAAAGAGCAGCCAACUAGCGAUAGUGAGCUAAUCUCAUAAACCGAGGCACAGUUCAGAUUGCAGGCUGCAACUCGCCUGCAUGAAGGAGGAAUCGCUAGUAAUCGCCGGUCAGCAUACGGCGGUGAAUACGUUCCCGGGCCUUGUACACACCGCCCGUCACACCAUGGGAGUUGGCCACGCCCGAAGUCGUUACUCUAACCGUUCGCGGAGGAGGGCGCCGAAGGUGGGGCUGAUGACUGGGGUGAAGUCGUAACAAGGUAGCCGUAGA